UACGAAGGGGGCUAGCGUUGCUCGGAAUUACUGGGCGUAAAGCGCACGUAGGCGGCUUUCUAAGUCGGGGGUGAAAUCCUGGAGCUCAACUCCAGAACUGCCUUUGAUACUGAAAGUCUUGAGUAUGGGAGAGGUGAGUGGAACUGCGAGUGUAGAGGUGAAAUUCGUAGAUAUUCGCAAGAACACCAGUGGCGAAGGCGGCUCACUGGCCCAUAACUGACGCUGAGGCACGAAAGCGUGGGGAGCAAACAGG
rnacentral:rRNA from 1 species